rnacentral:rRNA from 1 species
AUUGAACGCUGGCGGCAGGCUUAACACAUGCAAGUCGAGCGGGGGAAGGUAGCUUGCUACUGGACCUAGCGGCGGACGGGUGAGUAAUGCUUAGGAAUCUGCCUAUUAGUGGGGGACAACAUCUCGAAAGGGAUGCUAAUACCGCAUACGUCCUACGGGAGAAAGCAGGGGAGCUUGGGACAUUGCGCUAAUAGAUGAGCCUAAGUCGGAUUAGCUAGUUGGUGGGGUAAAGGCCUACCAAGGCGACGAUCUGUAGCGGGUCUGAGAGGAGGAUCCGCCACACUGGGACUGAGACACGGCCCAGACUCCUACGGGAGGCAGCAGUGGGGAAUAUUGGACAAUGGGGGGAACCCUGAUCCAGCCAUGCCGCGUGUGUGAAGAAGGCCUUAUGGUUGUAAAGCACUUUAAGCGAGGAGGAGGCUACUCUAGUUAAUACCUAGGGAUAGUGGACGUUACUCGCAGAAUAAGCACCGGCUAACUCUGUGCCAGCCGCCGCCGUAA